GUUCAGGAAAUUUUUUUGAACUGAGUAUAUUUUUCCUAUAUAUAUAUGUAUGUAUGCAUAUGCACACACCCUCUAAAAUGGGAACUCAAAAAGUCACAUUAUAUACUGCGCUAUUCAUUUUUUUCAUGGGUGAGUAUUGCCCUGUUCAUGUGCUUGUGCUUGCCUUGCUUAUGUCUUGACCUGGAAUGUUUAUGGGCUUGUUCGAGUAGACAAGUCAAGUCAAACCAAGCACAAGGUAGUCCUCGACCCAUGCUUGGCUUGCCUUGUGGCACUCUUUACUGAAUCGGUGGAUUCAACGUAUUGAUGACCUAUUUAAUCUGGAUAAUAUUGUUGCAAACAUGACUAAGGACUCGCCUGAGUUGACUGUGUCAGGUUGAUGCUCAGUUGGCUGAGCCUCAGGUGGAUGUGGUCUGAGUCUUUUGAGAAUUGGCCUUGUCUAAACAACUCAACUUGGAUCAGGAUGAUACAGAAUCCCGAUCUAAGUCAGUGUUCUUCAACUGCUUAAAGAGUGCUCGAUGUGUGUCAGGCAGUGCUAGAUUCUUCAGAUCAUUGUUUAUCCUCUUAAUCUAUUUAAACAUAUAAUAUUUAAACAUAACGCUUUCUGAUUAUCUAUUUCUUGCAGAUUGCAGUUUAUGAUGGUGAGUGCCUCGGUGAGGAGGGGGCAGAUAAACCGGAAAGCAAAGGUCCAGAUGUUAAGAAACCUGCUAAAAAGAAAGCUGUAAAUUCCAAGAGGAAGAAAUUCAUGGAUGACUCUAAAUCAGAAAAUGAAGAGAAUGAAGAGAAUGAAGAGGGUGAUGCAAACGGCUCAGUUAAGAAAAAACAAAGGGGACGAAAAGUGAAAGCUGCAUCAGGCCGAGGCAGGGGCAAGGCUGCCGGUAAGAGCCCAACAGAGUCAAAGGGAAGCUCAGGGCGAGGCCAAGGUCGGGUAAAAACAGGGAAAAUAGGAAGGCCUAGAAAAUGAUGGCCAAUCUCACAAACUUUGUUCUUUGUUGGCCCAUUUUUGCACUUUGGGAAAUGAUCGUCAUUUAGUUGCAAUUUUCUUUGUUUCUUGGAUGUUAUUUAUGUCUUGUUUGAUUUGGCUUCUCAGGUUGUGUUCCAUGAGAGUUAAUUGGAAUUGGGACUGGGUGGAUUUGAACUUAGGAGGGCUCAGAGUUCUUCACGUUUUAGUUCAAAAAAUUCUCAUUGUUUGCGCUAAAUGGCGUAAAAUCUAUGCACUUAUGUUUUUCAGCUUAUAUCAAUUAAUCUGGAUUGUUUAUGGAA